rnacentral:tRNA from 1 species
GACUCCGUAGCUCAACGGCAGAGCAGCGGACUUUUAAUCCGUUGGUUCUGGGUUCGAAUCCCAGCGGGGUCACCA